rnacentral:tRNA from 1 species
AGCCUACCAGGAUUUGAACCUGGAACCUUCUGAUCUACAGUCAGGUAUGUUUGCACUCCAUCC